rnacentral:rRNA from 1 species
GCAUAACGCGAAGAACCUUACCAGGUCUUGACAUCCUUAUGCCUUCCCUAGAGAUAGGGCGUUCCCUUCGGGGACAUAAGUGACAGGUGGUGCAUGGUUGUCGUCAGCUCGUGUCGUGAGAUGUUGGGUUAAGUCCCGCAACGAGCGCAACCCUUGAUCUUAGUUGCCAGCAUUCAGUUGGGCACUCUAAGGUGACUGCCGGUGACAAACCGGAGGAAGGUGGGGAUGACGUCAAAUCAUCAUGCCCCUUAUGACCUGGGCUACACACGUGCUACAAUGGAUGGUACAAAGGGUCGCAAAACCGCGAGGUCGAGCCAACCCCAUAAAACCAUUCUCAGUUCGGAUUGUAGGCUGCAACUCGCCUACAUGAAGCUGGAAUCGCUAGUAAUCGCGGAUCAGCAUGCCGCGGUGAAUACGUUCCCGGGUCUUGUACACACCG